rnacentral:rRNA from 1 species
CCUACGGGAGGCAGCAGUGAGGAAUAUUGGUCAAUGGGCGUAAGCCUGAACCAGCCAAGUCGCGUGAGGGAUGAAUGUUCUAUGGAUUGUAAACCUCUUUUAUAAGGGAAUAAAGUGUGGGACGUGUCCUCUUUUGUAUGUACCUUAUGAAUAAGGAUCGGCUAACUCCGUGCCAGCAGCCGCGGUAAUACGGAGGAUCCGAGCGUUAUCCGGAUUUAUUGGGUUUAAAGGGUGCGUAGGCGGGUUUUUAAGUCAGCGGUGAAAGUCUGUGGCUCAACCAUAGAAUUGCAGUUGAAACUGGGAGGCUGGAGUAUAGUUGAGGCAGGCGGAAUGCGUGGUGUAGCGGUGAAAUGCUUAGAUAUCACGCAGAACCCCGAUUGCGAAGGCAGCCUGCUAAGCCGUGACUGACGCUGAUGCACGAAAGCGUGGGGAUCAAACAGGAUUAGAUACCCGAGUAGUC